ensembl:lncRNA
CGACACAGCUUUACCAACUGUAAUGAAGAUCUGCUUGGUCGUAUUAAACCGCACCAAUCUCUUAACCAGGAAGAGCGGGAGCAGUUAUGGGGGAAGAUGGUCUGCAGGAAUGGUGGUAAUCAGGUAGCCGGGCUGCUGCUCUCUUUAUGGUGCAACAAAGGUAGCCUCGCACUCUUACUGUCUCACUCCCUGUUGUUAUGUGCUCUUCCCUCUGUGUGGUGCUUUUUUUGUAACGAUGUUAUGUGUGUACAGAAAAUGCCUUAUUGGUGUGAACGCUGCUUUGAGUGUUAACUAUAUGCGUGUGUGUUUUUUUUGUUAUUCACAUUUUUUGUUCUUAAAGACAGGGGGACUCCCACUGUCAUUGGUUUGUAUCAUGUGCCUUCAUUGCAUGCCGGUGUGGGAUGAGCAUGCAAUGUGUGAAAGAACCGCAUUGAACCCACAGGGAGGACAGAUCACAG